rnacentral:snoRNA from 1 species
AAUCCCUGUGAUGAUCAAUACCAUGCUAAUCCUGAAAUUCUUCAUGAUUAAAUUCAUAAUUAUUUCUUGAGGGAUUU